rnacentral:rRNA from 1 species
GAUAAACGCUGGCGGCGUGCAUGAGACAUGCAAGUCGAACGAACGAGCUUGCUCGUUAGUGGCGGACGGCUGAGUAACGCGUAGGUGACCUGCCCCGAAGUGGGGGAUAACUGCCCGAAAGGGUGGCUAAUACCGCAUGUGGCGACAUCUUCACUGAUGUCAUCAAAGCCGCGAGGCGCUUCGGGAGGGGCCUGCGUCCGAUUAGCUCGUUGGUGGGGUAACGGCUCACCAAGGCGACGAUCGGUAGGUGGUCUGAGAGGACGAUCACCCAGACUGGGACUGAGACACGGCCCAGACUCCUACGGGUGGCUG